CCGCGUGGACCUUCCGUCCGGCGCCGGAAUUUUUUCCGACAGGUCUCUCCGGUCUCCAGCGUAUGAAAUCGGUGCUGCAAACCCACGUCUCCUUCGAUACCUCCAUUGAAAGCUUCGGCUCGCACAUCAUCAGAAGCAAGCAUUCCGGUAACGUUUCUUCCUUUUCUCUUUCUAAUUCUGCUUCUUUCUCCUCGCCGUUUGACCCGAUUUUUCGCUCCUCUGACCCGAGUCCGUUGUUUGGCUCAGAUGCUUCGUUCGCCGGAGGUGUUACUUCCGGCAGUUGCGGCGGCGGUGUUUCUGCGGCCACGUUCUGUUGUUGCUCCUCUUCUGUUGAAGCUUCUUCAUCUGUUAAUGGUUCAGGC
rnacentral:lncRNA from 1 species